CUCGAGUUCCGGUGGGGAUCUUCAUGGUGAUGUUGGGAAUCGUCAGGCGAAAGAUCGGCAGUAGAGGCUUCCCUACUUCAAUUAUUGGCAAUUUAGUGAGGUCAGCACGUCCUGCGGUUUUUGCUUAUUCGGAGAAAAUUUCAGCCAGAAAUGAGACAAUCAAGGAAAAUGGCAUCGUUAUUGCUCUUCCUUCCUUUGGUGCUUGUGUUUGGAAUAUGGUUUUGGAGGGAAU